rnacentral:rRNA from 1 species
CUUCCAGACUCCUACGGGAGGCAGCAGUGGGGAAUAUUGCACAAUGGGGGAAACCCUGAUGCAGCAACGCCGCGUGAGUGAAGAAGCGUUUCGGCGCGUAAAGCUCUGUCAGCGGGGAAGAAAGAAGACGGUACCCGACCAAGAAGCCCCGGCUAACUACGUGCCAGCAGCCGCGGUAAUACGUAGGGGGCGAGCGUUAUCCGGAAUUACUGGGCGUAAAGGGAGCGUAGGCGGACUUUUAAGUGAGAUGUGAAAUACUCGGGCUCAACUUGAGUGCUGCAUUUCAAACUGGAAGUCUAGAGUGCAGGGGAGGAGAAUGGAAUUCCUAGUGUAGCGGUGAAAUGCGUAGAGAUUAGGAAGAACACCAGUGGCGAAGGCGAUUCUCUGGACUGUAACUGACGCUGAGGCUCGAAAGCGUGGGGAGCAAACAGGAUUAGAUACCCCAGUA